GAAUUUUUGGUACUAAUUUUGCAACUUUUCUUUAGAAAACAUUAUUACCAAAUAACCUUUUUUUUGGACAGAGAAACAGCCAGAGAGGGAACGGAAGCAGGAGGAGCAGGGAGCUGAUGUGGGGCUUGAUCCCAGGACCCUGAGAUCAUAACCUGAGCCAAACGCAGAUGCCUAACCACUGGCACCCCACCAAAUAAUUUUUAAUUAUAUACACUUGAACACCUAGAGUGGAAAAUGAUGGCCAGUGGGACAGAAAACAAAAGCAUGGGAAGAAAGACAUGUGGCUGAGUAGUUGUUGGCUUUGCACUUCAUACAGUCAUCGGGUUGCUCCAAGGUUCUCGUGUUCAGUAGCAACUUCGAAGGAUCAUCUGCUUUCUGGCAGCUCUUGGGGAACCUCGAUUUCAAAUGUCUGGUUGCUGGAUCGUGAGGAAAUUCGUUCAGGCCAAUUGAAGAAGACUGCGAUCCAAAUUUUCAUAUGGAUGCCAUAACUGGAUAGGACUUCUUGUGGUCUCCCUUUGGGGAAGAGUGAUUGUAUUUGGUGACCAGAAAGACCAACUGUAACAGAGAUCUCUUGCUGUCUGCCAAAAGCCAUUAUUCUCUGCAGGCACACACCCCUUCCAAUUCGGGAGUGGCCAUACGACAAAGUUUUCUCCAAUGUAAUGUGACUGGAAGCAAUGUGUACCACUUGGUGACUAUGGGGUGGGACAGCACAAGAAUGAAGAGCCUAGGCUCCUGAACACCAGCAAUGAAAGACGACCAUGUCCCUGACCUGAAUAUCUGCCCAGGACUGUCAGGUAAGCAAGAAAUAAACUAUCUGUGGGCGCCUGGGUGGCUCAGUUGGUUAAGCAUUUGUCUUUGGCUCGGGUCACGAUCUCAGGGUCCUGGGAUCGAGCCCCACAUCGGGCUCUCUGCUCGGUAGGAAGUCUGCUUCUCUCUCUCUCUCUCUCCCUCUGCCCCUCUCCACUGCUUGUUCUCUCUCUCUCUCAAAUAAGUAAAAUCUUUUAAACAAAAACAAAACAAAACAAAAAAGAAACAAUUUUGAUGAGUCACAUUUUGGAUCUGCUUGUUGCAGUAGACCCCAUAAGUCAUACAGUAUACCCCAUGAGAUAUACCCCAUGAGUCAUGCUUGUUCCACAUGAUUACAUACUCAUACAAAUGAUGUACAUACUACAUCCUUUAAAUCACAAUUAUUAAUGGUAACAUACUAAUCACCCUUUAACAAACCUUGCUUUUUUUCAUUUAAUGUCUUGGGAAGUGUUCCAUAUCAGUCCAUUAAAAACUUCCUCAUUUUUUCUUUACUUUCUUUUUCACUUCUUGAUAGUGUGUUUAACUAUUUAUUUAACCAGUUCCCAACUGAUGGGCAUUUAGGCUGUUUCUGGUCUUUUGUUAGACACUCUCAUGCUCACGUUCUUUCAGCUGGUCCUCUGCAAAUGCAAGAUACAGGUCAGCCUCAUGUACAGAAUGCUCUAGUUUUACUCUCUGAUGUGGGACUUAGCUUCUUUUAGCCAAAUUGCAAAGCUAAUAUGUGACAUUACUGAUUCUCUAUGGCACACUAGGA
rnacentral:lncRNA from 1 species